AUUGAACGCUGGCGGCAGGCCUAACACAUGCAAGUCGAGCGGAUGAAGGGAGCUUGCUCCCGGAUUCAGCGGCGGACGGGUGAGUAAUGCCUAGGAAUCUGCCUGGUAGUGGGGGAUAACGUCCGGAAACGGGCGCUAAUACCGCAUACGUCCUGAGGGAGAAAGUGGGGGAUCUUCGGACCUCACGCUAUCAGAUGAGCCUAGGUCGGAUUAGCUAGUUGGUGGGGUAAAGGCCUACCAAGGCGACGAUCCGUAACUGGUCUGAGAGGAUGAUCAGUCACACUGGAACUGACACACGGUCCAGACUCCUACGGGAGGCAGCAGGGGGGAAUAUUGGACAAUGGGCGAAAGCCUGAUCCAGCCAUGCCGCGUGUGUGAAGAAGGUCUUCGGAUUGUAAAGCACUUUAAGUUGGGAGGAAGGGCAGUAAGUUAAUACCUUGCCGUUUUGACGUUACCAACAGAAUAAGCACCGGCUAACUUCGUG
rnacentral:rRNA from 1 species